rnacentral:lncRNA from 1 species
UGGACGUGGUCAUCAUGCUGCCAAUUGCACACUCAAAGCCCUCUGUCCAACUUGCAACAGGAAACAUCUGCAGGCACUACACAAUGUAAAUGAACAAAGUAGAGCCUCAGAAGAAGCAGUUCCAGCUAGUGCAGUCUUAUAUGUGGAUCGAGGCAUAUGCAAUUCUGGACGAUGGGUCAGAACGGACCAUUAUCCUACAAGAAGCAGUCCAGAAGUUGAAUCUGAAGGGACAGCCAGAGGACUUGGUUCUUCGCACAGUCAGGCAAGACACCCAGACCAUUCACGGGGCGGCUGUGACCUUCACUGUGUCUUCAGUAGCGUACCCAAGGAAGCCCUUCAGGAUACGGAGUGCCUUCACAGCCAACAGCCUGGGCUUAGCAGAACACACACAUCCAGUCAAGGUACUCCAGAAAAGGUACAAGCAUCUUGCGGGCUUGCCACUGCAGCAUCUUCACAAAGUGAAACCAUUGGUUCUCAUUGGCUCUGACUGCCCUCACCUCAUCACGCCGAUCGAACCAGUUAGACUGGGUCCUCCUGGUGGCCCUGCUGCUGUGAGAACACGUCUAGGCUGGACACUACAAGGCCCAGCGCAGGAAAUAUCCAGCAGGCUUUCCCCACAGCAAUGUCUCUUCACCAGCUUACGGCCUAGUGAUGACCUUUAUGUGAAUGUGGAGAAACUGUGGAAAAUGGACAUUCUUCCAUAUCAGAACGAGAAGGUACUGACAAGGUCAAGGCAAGACCAAGAGUGCAUCCAACUUCUCCAAGACAAAACAGUGAGAGUGGAUGUUAAUGGAAUCCAGCGCUAUGCUACCCCUCUUCUACGUACCAAAAAUAUGCCAUGUCUACAUGCACCCAAAGAAGCUGUCCUGCCACAAUUAAGGGGAAUAGAGAAUCGGCUCAACAAGAAUCCUGAACAAGCUGCAGCCUACCAAGAGGAGAUAGCCAGGUUACAGCAAGCUGGCUACAUCACAAAACUCCAUCCUGAACAGGUGGACCGUUCCAGAGAGAGUUGGUACAUCCCACAUCAUCUGGUGGAACACAAUGGAAAGAAAAGGGUCGUCUUCAACUGUUCAUUUGUUUACCAAGGUUACAACCUGAACGAGUACUUGCUCCCAGGUCCACCACUCAGUCCUUCUCUGCUGGCAGUUCUCCUGCGUUUUCGAGAGCAUUCCAUCGCCAUUAGUAGUGACAUUCGUGGGAUGUUCCACCACAGCAGUGACUGG